rnacentral:rRNA from 1 species
GACGAACGCUGGCGGCGUGCUUAACACAUGCAAGUCGAACGGAAAGGCCCUGCUUUUGUGGGGUGCUCGAGUGGCGAACGGGUGAGUAACACGUGAGUAACCUGCCCUUGACUUUGGGAUAACUUCAGGAAACUGGGGCUAAUACCGGAUAGGAGCUCCUGCUGCAUGGUGGGGGUUGGAAAGUGUCGGCGGUGGGGGAUGGACUCGCGGCUUAUCAGCUUGUUGGUGGGGUAGUGGCUUACCAAGGCUUUGACGGGUAGCCGGCCUGAGAGCGUGAACGGCGACAUGGGGACUACGAUACGCAGCAGACUGCUAUGGGAGGCAGUAGUGGAGAGUAUUGCGGAGUGAGGGGAAGCCUGAUACGACAACGCUCCGAGCGGAAUGAUGGCCUUCGGGUUGUAAACCGCUGUCGCCUGUGACGAAGCGGGAGUGACGGUAAUGAGUAAAGAAGCACCGGCUAACUACGUG